CUGAGGAUCAUGGUUUGGACUAUGAAGAAACUGUAGCCAUCUAUUUUACUCAAAUGGAAGGUUUUGAUGCAGGUACAGAAAUGAUGAAAGCCAAGAUUGAGAUUGAUACUGACAGGUUCCUAGUGAGUAUUUGACAUUGGGGAACAAGUUUUUGGAAACAAAUAGAGAAUAUAAAGUCUUUGACCGAGAAGUUUCAUGUUUUGUAAUCAAAUAUUGAUGUACAUUGUUUGAAUGUUAGUUCGGUACGAUAUUUUCUGAGUUGAAAUGUUGGUAGUGUGGAUUUAAUA